UUUUUAGCAUAAGUAUGUCCCAUGCAACAUUUGGGAUAUAUUUAUACUAAAA
rnacentral:pre_miRNA from 1 species